rnacentral:rRNA from 1 species
AUUUCUCGUCUCAACUAUGUUGUUAUUACCCUUAUUCCAAAAGUUAAAGGAGCCGAGCUAAUUUCUUAGUUCAGACCUAUCGCUCUUAACAACAAUUUUGCUAAAUCCCCUGUAAAGGGUUUUGCGACCCGUCUCACUCCUAUCGCUCAUAGAACUAUCAGCCCCUUCCAAUCUGCUUUCAUCAAAGGACGUUUUAUUCUAUAUGGGAUCCUCUGCCUUCAUGAAAUCGUGCACGACCUCAAAAUUCUUAAAUUUAAAGCGGUUAUUCUCAAAUUGGACUUUGAGAAAGCCUACGACUCGGUCAGUUGGUCGUUCCUAAGAAAGGUUCUUUUAGCUAAAGGCUUUGAUGGAGCUUAUGUUCAUAGGAUCAUGAAGUUGGUCUCGGGGGCCACACUGCGACUUCUGUUAAUGGUCAAGUCAGUAACUACUUUGCCAACGGUAGGGUCCUGUGGCAGGGCGACCGAGCCUCUCCGAUCUUGUUCAACUUUGUCGCAGAUGCGUUCUGAUACGUCUCCAAUGUAUCUAUAA